UACAGAGGUCCCAAGCGUUGUCCGGAUUUAUUGGGCGUAAAGAGCGUGUAAGCGGCCAGGUAGGUCUGCUGUGAAAACUCGAGGCUCAACCUCGAGACGCCGGUGGAAACCAUCAGGCUAGAGUCCGGAAGAGGAGAGUGGAAUUCCUGGUGUAGCGGUGAAAUGCGCAGAUAUCAGGAAGAACACCCGUGGCUAAGGCGGCUCUCUAGUACGGUACUGACGCUGAGACGCGAAAGCGUGGGGAGCGAACAGG
rnacentral:rRNA from 1 species